rnacentral:tRNA from 1 species
GGGCAGGUGUCAGAGUGGUCGAAUGAGCACGCCUGGAAAGUGUGUGUACUGGCAACAGUACCGAGGGUUCGAAUCCCUCCCUGUCCG